AGUCGCAAGACCGCGAGGUUUAGCAAAUCUCUUAAAGCCGUUCUCAGUUCGGAUUGUAGGCUGCAACUCGCCUACAUGAAGUCGGAAUCGCUAGUAAUCGCGGAUCAGCAUGCCGCGGUGAAUACGUUCCCGGGCCUUGUACACACCGCCCGUCACACCAUGAGAGUUUGUAACACCCAAAGCCGGUGGGGUAACCUUUUGGAGCCAGCCGUCUAAGGUGGGACAGAUGAUUGGGGUGAAGUCGUAACAAGGUAAC
rnacentral:rRNA from 1 species